rnacentral:rRNA from 1 species
UACGAAGGGAGCUAGCGUUGUUCGGAAUCACUGGGCGUAAAGCGCACGUAGGCGGAUGUGUCAGUCAGGGGUGAAAUCCCGGAGCUCAACUUCGGAACUGCCCUUGAUACAGCACGUCUUGAGUCCGGAAGAGGUGGGUGGAAUUCCUAGUGUAGAGGUGAAAUUCGUAGAUAUUAGGAAGAACACCGGUGGCGAAGGCGGCCCAGCUGGUCCGGUACUGACGCUGAGGUGCGAAAGCGUGGGGAGCAAACAG